ensembl:ncRNA F47F6.15 ncRNA
UUCCGCGCGCGCGCCGCUUCGUGCCGCCUAGGUACCAAGCGCCACCAGCGGAGAGAUAGAGAGCGUCGGAGGGUGCGAGACAUGCCUACAGCCCUAGAGAGCUGACCAGAGAAAGCGAGGACAAGUCGUGCCUGACCCAUUGC